UUGACUUUUUGUCUAACUUGCCAUUCUGUGUCUUUUAAUUCGGACCUUUAGCCCAUUAACAUUUAAGAUUAGUAUUGUUAUGUGUGGAUUUGAUCCUGUCAUCAUGAUGCUAGCUGGCUAUUUUGGAGACUUGUUUAUGUGGUUGCUUCAUAGUGUCACUGGUCUGUGUACUUCAGUGCAUUUUUGUCAUGGCUGGUAAUGUUCUUUCCUUUCCACAUUUAGUGCUUCCUU